rnacentral:rRNA from 1 species
CCUACGGGAGGCAGCAGUGGGGAAUAUUGGACAAUGGGGGCAACCCUGAUCCAGCCAUGCCGCGUGUGUGAAGAAGGCCCUCGGGUUGUAAAGCACUUUCAGUGAGGAAGAACGCCUGGUGGUUAAUACCCAUCAGGAAAGACAUCACUCACAGAAGAAGCACCGGCUAACUCCGUGCCAGUAGCCGCGGUAAUACGGAGGGUGCGAGCGUUAAUCGGAAUUACUGGGCGUAAAGCGCGCGUAGGUGGCUUGAUAAGCCGGUUGUGAAAGCCCCGGGCUCAACCUGGGAACGGCAUCCGGAACUGUCAAGCUAGAGUGCAGGAGAGGAAGGUAGAAUUCCCGGUGUAGCGGUGAAAUGCGUAGAGAUCGGGAGGAAUAGCAGUGGCGAAGGCGGCCUUCUGGACUGACACUGACACUGAGGUGCGAAAGCGUGGGUAGCAAACAGGAUUAGAUACCCUGGUAGUC